ACACCCAACUUCUGAACGUUGACCUCGAAUCAGGUAGGACUACCCGCUGAACUUAAG
rnacentral:rRNA from 1 species